UACAGAGGGGGCAAGCGUUGUUCGGAAUUACUGGGCGUAACGGGCGCGUAGGCGGCACAGCAAGUCGGGAGUGAAAGCCCGGGGCUCAACCCCGUAACUGCUUUCGAAACUGCUGAGCUAGAGUGCGGAAGGGGCAACCGGAAUUCCCAGUGUAGCGGUGAAAUGCGUAGAUAUUGGGAAGAACACCUGAGGCGAAGGCGGGUUGCUGGGCCGACACUGACGCUGAAACGCGAAAGCGUGGGGAGCAAACAGG
rnacentral:rRNA from 1 species